rnacentral:lncRNA from 7 species
AGGAACACCUGCAGUUCACGGCAGCUAGGCACAAGGCUUCACUCCUUCUUGCUCUGUCUUCUGCUAGCUGUAGGAAAAGAGGGACAAAGGUGAAAUGUGUGACCUGUUAUCUCCAUAAUGCCUCACAAUUAAACUGUUUCAGUCAUGUUGAUGUGUGGUCAAUGUGUGUAAGUCCUUUCAUACAAUUACAUCAAGACAGUGCUCUGUAAUCUUUUUACAGAGUAAGUAAUGAGGAAUAAAAUUUAUGCUGUACAUGACUUAACCUAAUUAAUAUGUUAGGAUAACUGCCCAAUUAAGCAGUUGACUAAAAUAAAUAAACCUCAAGUGACUCAACUGUCUGCAGAAGAAAAAGUUUUUAACAGAUUUCUGAGAAGUUAUAUGCAGGAUUUGCCUACUGCGCAAAAACAUAUUCAGUAUUUCCCUACAGGUCUCAUAGACAGUUGGCUUUACUUCUGUGUGGAAAAUGUGGAACUGUGAUAACUGUUCACCUUCCUCCCAGUAAUAUAGUUUCUUAUUUUCAUGUGGGUUAAACUAAAAAUAGAAGCAUGUGUAAAGAAUCUGUAAUUUUAAAAGCUAUUUCCAGGAGUGCCAAAGCUUAUUGCAAAAGAUACAUAUAACUUUGGCCUCUGGUUUGGAAUUGAGACUUUGAGUAUCAGUUUUUCUUUAUGCUUUACUUCACAGAUUUUAAUCCACCAUAAAGUAAGGGCAAAAGUCUAGAUGGUCUACAAAUAUUUUAAAAUUGUCCACAUUGCAACAGCUGUUGCAAUGACCUCAUCAGAAAAGAUAAUCUGGCCCAAUGUUCUGGCUUUGGUGAUUUCAUUUAUUUCCAAGCAGAAAAGAGCUCUCUUUCUUUUUUUUUCUUUCUUUUUUUCUCUUUUCAGUCAACUUAAGAGUCAAGGUUUGAUCUCUUCAGGCUGCUGAGUGUGCCACUGCAGGUCUGUGUAUGUGACAGGAUGAAGAAAACUCCUGUUAAAAGCAGUACAGCUGUGAUUGCUUUGGAUAAUGGUCUAUUCCCUUCUAUCUCAAGACUGAAAACUUCCCCAUCUCUUAGAGACUCUGUUCUCAAGUCACAGUAGUAACCCAGAGGAAAAUAUACUGAUUUACUUUACAGAUUUGGAACUCAUUUUCAUGUAAUAUCUGCCAUCACUUAUUUUAAAAAUAUUUCAAACAUCAUAUGUCCAAUUUCUGGGAAUUUUCCAGCUGAUGUGAAUGAUUUUUCAGGGACAUUGCUUCAAGUUUGUGAAAUAUGCUCUUUCAUUGGCCACUCUUUUAUUAAGAUUAAUCAGAGCUGCAGCUGUGAGUGAGAAUUACAUUCCUUUCUGACAUAUAUUUUUGAUAGCAGGUGUGUAACAUUAAGACAAGCUUUUCUGUUAUGACUCCCUUACUCUUUUUCCCAUAAUGUUGCUGAUCCUUGAUUUACCAUGUUUUGAUUCACCCCCUCCCCCCAAAAAAAUAAAAAUAAAAAUAAAAAUAUAUAUAUUU